rnacentral:lncRNA from 10 species
GCUAGAGUACAGUGGCACGAUCUCGGCUCAUUGCAACUUCUACCCGCAGGGUUCAAGCGAUUCUCCUGCCUCAGCCUCCCAAGUAGCUGGGAUUACAGGCACCUGACACUGCACCCGGCUAAUUUUUGUAUUUUUAGUAGAGACGGGGUUUCACCAUGUUGGCCAGGCUGGUCUUGAACUCCUGACCUCGUGAUCCACCCGCCUUGGCCUCCCAAAGUGUUGGGAUUACAGGCAUGAGCCACUGGGCCCAGACCCUAAGGCUUUUCAAAAUAAAAACUCAGGAAAAAAAAAAAAAUAGGAUGGCCUCUGACCUCCGACCACUGACACGAGGUAAAGAGAUGAAUUAAACCAACUGUUCUUAGGAAUUUAAACCUAAACAAAAAGAAUUUGCUACUUAGCAAUAAAGUUGGAGGUGACAGAAAAACAUGUGGAGUUCGGCUAUAGCAAAUUAAAAUUACGUACACACCAAAAUUAUGAGGUGGAAGAAAAGAUAUGGCAAAUUGUUUGCAAAAAUAGUUGCCACAGAUGCUUCUCAUCUAGUAAGCAAUUCUCCCAUCAUGAGAUGAAAUCUAUGUCUCCCUGCGUUCUAGACUGGUCUUGUGACUUACUUUGACCAACAGAAUGCAGAGGUGACACGGUGCCAGUUCUUGACCACGAAGAGGCUUGACAUCUUGCACUUUCCUUCUCUUGGAGCCCUGAGCCACUGCAUAAAGAAGACCAACUGCCCAGGAAACAACAGAUGCUGGAGAGGAUGUGGAGAAACAGGAACACUUUUACACUGUUGGUGGGAGUGUAAUUAGUUCAAUCAUUGUGGAAGACAAUGUGGCAAUUCCUUAAGGAUCCAGAACCAGAAAUACCAUUUGACUCAGCAAUCCCAUUACUGGGUAUAUACCCCAAAGGAUUAUAAAUCAUUCUACUAUAAAGACACAUGCACACCUAUGUCUAUUGCAGCACUAGUCACAAUAGUAAUGACUUGGAACCAACCCAAAUGUCCAUCAAUGAUAGACUGGAUAAAGAAAAUGUGGCACAUAUACACCAUGGAAUAGUAUGCAGCCAUAAAAAAGGAUGAUUUCAUGUCCUUUGCAGGGACAUGGAUGGAGCUAGAAACCAUCAUUCUCAGCAAAGUAACACAGGAACAGAAAACCAAACACCGCAUGUUCUCACUCAUAACGGGGAGCUGAACAAUG